AGAUUUCUGAAUCUGUGCUGAAAUUUUGUCAGAUACCAGUUCAUCAGGACUGAUGAGAUCCCCAAGAUAAGUGGGGCG
rfam:Schistosoma mansoni strain Puerto Rico chromosome W, complete genome